UACGAAGGGGGCUAGCGUUGCUCGGAAUGACUGGGCGUAAAGGGCGCGUAGGCGGCCCACUUGGUCCGGCGUGAAAGCCCUGGGCUCAACCUGGGGACUGCGCUGGGAGACGGGGUGAGCGUUGAGGACGGAAGAGGCUCGCGGAAUUCCCAGUGUAGAGGUGAAAUUCGUAGAUAUUGGGAAGAACACCGGUGGCGAAGGCGGCGAGCUGGGUCCGUAUCUGACGCUGAGGCGCGACAGCGUGGGGAGCAAACGAGG
rnacentral:rRNA from 1 species